UACGUAGGGGGCUAGCGUUGUCCGGAUUUAUUGGGCGUAAAGAGCGUGUAGGCGGCCAAGUAGGUCCGGUGUGAAAACUCGAGGCUUAACCUCGAGAUGUCAUCGGAAACCAUUUGGCUAGAGUCCGGAAGAGGAAAGUGGAAUUCCUGGUGUAGCGGUGAAAUGCUUAGAGAUGACAUAGAACACCAAUUGCGAAGGCAGCUUACUAAACGAAGAUUGACGCUGAGGCACGAAAGCGUGGGGAUCAAACAGG
rnacentral:rRNA from 1 species